rnacentral:lncRNA from 1 species
GACCGCUCGUAGUAGAAAUUUGAAGUAGACCGCUUGUAGUAGAAGCUCGGGGUAGGUCAUUUGCGGUAGAAGUUCGGAGUCCGACCUUUGUAGGAGUUCGGAUGAGGUCACCUGCAAUAGGAGUUCUGGGCGGAAGCCCAGUUCCCGUAGGAGUCCGAAUGAAGACUACCUGCGGCUGGAGUCGGGGAUGAAGUCCGGCUCCC